GCUGUGAGACGAAGGUGCAAAAAGGAAUGAUCUCUUACAGCCUUUGAUUAAAAAACGAAAAAGUGCUGCUCUUCUUUCUGCCUUGUCUAUCUACCUGACGAUAGAAGGAAUGAACGAUUCCCCCAGUGUCAGAUCUUCCCACCAGACUGUCAGCGUGCUCCCACCAGUUACAACAUAUCUGUCUUUUCAUUAGCUUAACUUCCAGGAAGAAUUUUUGGUGUGCGCCUGAAGCACGGGGCUAUUUGCAAAGGAUUUCAGCUGUUCCUGCAGGCUCCUACGCCUCAUGUUCUCCCCUCGCUUUCAGGUCUACAGAUGACGGGAAGGUCGGUGUGACCGCGGCUCAAAGUUUGGGACCGCAGGUUUGACAAAUGUUGUGGACUCACAUGAUUUGACUUCCAUGAAUAGUUUUUUUUCCCAGCAAUACCAGUGGCGGGGGAGGAAUCUGACCCACGGAGCCCUUCUAAAAGACACUCUGUUACAACAGCAAAGCUUCCGGAAACUUCUCCUCGGCUCAGGGUGCUUUGUAAUGGGUUGGCUCUUGGUUUCACAGUGAGCUCCAGCUGCUGCUCUUCCUGCAGCUCGCAGCUACACACCUGGAGGAGCACUGGGCUCACAGCGGCUGCCCCAGGCUGCAUCACAACCGAAGGCCACGUAGCUCUGGAGGAAAUGGAAGAAAUAUUCAGAUAAGUCGGAAACGGUCCUGCAGCACAAGCAUGAGCAAUUACCCACGUGGUUCUUCGUGACAUUGUUCUUCAGCUGCAGAUCCUGGGAGAUCGCCACAGUUGUUCACAUUCAAACAAAAGGAGUCUAAUGAAAGUAUUUUAAUCUGCUCAUCAGCUACUUGGAGAGAAAGGGAUGGCCGUGCUAGGUGUCUUCGGAGUCUGGAAAUGAAUGCAGCAAUGCAAAACAAUAAACGCUGUACGAGGGUUUCAAUCUGAAUCGAGCUGGUAGCAAAGUGAUGAGGGAGGCAGCUGAUGGAGCCGGAGGAGUCGCAUUGGAGCCCGGCGCCCGCGGUGAGAUGCUGCACAGCCAUCGGUAAGGGAUGAUCAUGCUGUUCCCCGAGUAAGGAACUCGCCCAGCAUUUCAAAUACAUUUGCUAAAAUGCAUAUAAUGAUGAUAGAGCUAGGGUGAGUUUCAGUCUGUGUUUUUUUACCCCUGGUAAAAUAAAUUAGGGUUAUUUUUUCAGACCCUGCUGUGUGUUCGUGUAGCGUGAAAACUCUAUUUAUUGAAAAAUAGGUCGCAUAGUGAGUUCUAGGGCCUGAAUUUAUUCUCAAAUAGCAAGAAAUGCACCAUGCAGCUUUCCUACAGCAUUUUAGACUUUAAGGGUUAAGAAUGAAUUAUGUGCUUUUAAUGGGAUGUUAACCUGAGAUAACGUAGCUUCACAGAUAAGCCUUAGGAUCUUCCUCACGUAGAUCUCGUACUUGGUAGCAGUCUCCAUUGAAGUUCAUUACAAGUGAAAACGAAACCAGAAUCCUCUGUCCUCAGUGGAAACAGCCAACAAUGGUGUGGUGUAAUGAUGUUUUUGGAGGCAUUUGCAGCCUCCUGUCUGUUCUGAAGGCAGAAGAACCAUGGAUCUUGGUAUGGCUCCAACAGAAGCUGUCUGUGUAAAGGAUGUGUCCCUGUUCUCGGUGCUAUGGACCCCAAGGCAACUCAGAAACUUCCCCUCAGAGGUUAACAUAUUAAACAGCUCAUGUGUGGAAAGAAGCAAUAAUACUCAUGUAUAAGUAUGGGUACGUCCUUUUUAAAUUAAAAGAAAGUAUCCAGCAAAGACUUUAAAUGAAUCUCAGCUGCUAAUGCUCUUCUUGCAGGGCCAUUUCUGCCCUCAGCCCAAGCACUGUUGGUGCCAUCCACAGCCCAGAUGCACAGCUCAUGGGGUGCAGCACUGACAGCAGCCUGUCUGCACAGAGCUUGCCUCCUCAGAUGGGCAGUUUUAUUUCCACUUUUGAGCCUUUUGAGAGGAGCUGCUUUGCUACCUGCGAGUCCGUUUCAGUGAGACUCACGCAGCCCAGAGUGCAGUCAUUAAGCCCUGCUGUUUGCCUUGGAAAAAAAGCGAGCUGACCCCACUGAGUGGGCAGCAGAACCUCCCCGUGGAGCUGCCCUGUCCCAGGGCCAUCCACACGAUGCACAGGACCCGCUGCUGCCUGGUGCUGCACAGCCAGAACCACUUUUUAUUUCUUUUUUUUUUAAUUUCCCUAAUUGGAACUGGUUUUGAUUGAUUUCCAAACAGAUAUCUUACAGCAGCAGGCAUUUUCCCCCUUUGCUUCUGUUAAUUGUAGGUGGUAGUACAUCCCUGAUUACAUCCCUGUAGUCCUCAGCCACAGACAGCAGGAGCAGCCAGACCUGAGGCCUUUCCCCAUCCACAGCUGCUGUGCAUUUCUGCUUCAUGAAACAUUGCUGCUUUGUAGCUACAGCACUGCACAACACCUCUACUUAGGUCCAUGUCUUUACCUGCUUAACUUUUGUAUUUGUGAAAAUGCAGAUUUAUUUAUUUCCUUCCUGGGGGCAUCCAAAGACUGAAGAUAAAGAUGAAGAAGUUGCUGUAAAAAGAAAAGAGUGAACAAAACAAUAUGGAGAUCUUUUUUUGCUAUUGAAACGAAGCAUAUUUCGUUGCCUAAUGGGAUUUAUCUUCUCAGAUAACAUGUUUUCUGCUGUAAAGCAACAGCCAGCCCAUUUCCUGUAAGCUCCUUAAGGUACAAGUUUUCGAGAGCUGUCACAAUAUAUUGUGUUGCUUGAGCUCGCUGCCAGCGCGCAUCACACGGCACGUGGGGAGCUGCGCAUGCAGAUUAGUGCCUGCCUCGUGCAAUUCCAGCAGCCUUUCCUAAAUCAAAGCAGGAAAAGCGUUCGCAUGGGGGUAAAAAUAAGGCAAGAAAAUCUUCCCAUGAGCCACACUUAUUGUUGCAGUGUCUGGGGGAAGAGAAAGAAGGAGCAUCGCUUGGUGGAAAGGGGCAGGAGCUCUGCUUAUUUCCUUGGGCCAUCUGCGCAGAGGAGCAAUGCUGGGCAGCGUGUUGGGGGGUGAGCAGGGUGCCCGCUCCCUGUGCUGCGUGGUGCUGAGCAGGGCUGAGCCCGCAGCGGAUCCGUGCUGCUGGAGAUGGGGUUCUGUGUGCCACCGGGAGCCGUCCUCUGCUGGGAGCUCUCCCAGCGUGAUGAGAAGACAGACAGGAGCGCGUACCCAUUAAAAGAGAGUGAAUUAUUUCUUGUUGCUGUUAGCCGCAGCACUGUUACAUUAUACACGAGGCCUCGCUGAUCAAAGCCGCAGCAGAAGUCAGAUUUCUUCUCUUGCUGAGGAUUAGCCUUUGUGUCAGAGAGAUGCCAUGCGAUAACCUCUGCUUUUCCCACUAAACUGGUGGUCUUUCACCCUUGCACAUAAACUUCCAGUAACUGGCACUGGCGUUAUGAAUAUACAUGGGAAGCGUUUGGCACUGCUUUGGUGGUAGGGAGAGCCUCAAACGUGGGGAUUUUCCUUCUCUUGUUGGUGAGGGGGUAUUCAGGUGGAAGUGCUAUUUGGGUUAUCUAAUUAAGCAUAGAAUCAUAGAAUGAUUUGAGUAUAGGGAGCCUUAAAGAUCAUCUGAUUCCUGCUCUGCUGCCACGGACCUGUUAGACAACGCAUGCCGCUGCACCCCUCUUGGGUUGCCAGUCCGCGUGUUUUCUCUGCGUGUCCUCCCAAAGGGCAGUCACGUAACUAGGUCUGAGUGUGUUCCCACUUCUUCAACUUCCUUAGGGAUUUGGGGGAAAACAGAAAAAAUCAUUUUAUGUAGGCUAAGUACUCCAGAUUUGUAAGAGCCAUUUGCGUGGAUGACACAAAAUACGUGAUUCCUGAAAGGCUUCGUUUCUACACCUCGUGUUAUGGCACCGUUAUUUGAAAUAAGCACAGCUGGAGCCCAGAGGCUAAGCAAAGACGAGAUGCUGCAUGGGAUAAUGGGUAAACUUCUGCUCUAUCCUAACUGGAUUUUAAGCAAUGCCCACACCCCCACAACGUUCACGGAGCUGUCACGUGCUUUCACGAGUUCACCACCCUCCCGGCUGAACGGAAAGAAAAAUAGAGAGUGCUGACUUCAUUACUUGCACCUUGGAAGUGGCUUGACAGCCAUUUAGAAAAAUAGUUAGCAUUCAGCGAUCUCCAGUGCCUCCUUCCCCGCGGAGCCCGUGCCAGCAGCCCCAUCCGUCUCCGUCCCCCCGGCGCGGCACACGGCCCGCACGGCACCGCCACUUUGAUUCAUGGGAUCAAUAACUCGAAGGCUCUGCCUAAAAGGAUGGAAAAUGCGGUGUGACCCGGCGGGUGAGUAAUGGCUGUUGUGUGUGGCAAAAUAACUGGGCUGCGUCUGUGUCAACAAAUAAAGCCUCCUGAGCACAACCAAAUUACAAAGAUCCUUUUAUUCUGUUUCUUAAAUCUUUGCUUUAAUGCUGACCUUAUUCUCAGUGCUCUCUGGUAAAUAUAGUCUGGUGCUACGUGAAUGAAUUUGGGAGUGUGUUUAAGCUGCGACUUACUCAGGUUUUAUCUUGCCUCCUUCAGAGGAAGGUUUAUACUAAUAGCUUCAUUAACUUGCUCUAAAGCCUUUCUCAUCUUCCUUUCGAAUUGUGUACCACGCAGCAUCAGUCCAGGGGUAUCUUUGUGGUUGAAAGGGUGAGAAUAAAGCACAGCAAGAAGUUCCUGUUAUUUUCCAAAGGCCUCGGCUUCCUUGGGAAGGCCGUUGGUUUGGGGGCUUUCAUGCAGCCACAGGUUUCCUUGGGCACUGGAGCUGGUGCUGCAGGCAGUGCCCAAGGCUCUGGGCAGCACUAAGGAACCCGACCUGCGGUGCAUCCCUGAGGGCAGAAGGGAUGCUCUGUUGGUAUAAAGGGAAAGGUAACAGUCGUCAUAUCGCAGUUCACUCUCUAUUAGGAAAGAGCAAAUGCUGGCUUUGAUUGUGACACAUUUCUGUUUUAUCCACCAAAUCCAUUGCUGGAUGAAGCUGGCGCCGGCUUCUCUUGAGUCACACGGAGAGGUUUUUGGCGCUUAAUGCAUUAACAUGUGUGUAUUCUUUGUGGCUACAAUUUAAACAAAUGUUUUGAAAGGGUGACAGAGAAAAUUAUUUUUCUUGCCUACAUUAACAAGUAGGUGUCAUGUAUUUUAAUUACUGUGACCAAGCUGCAAUUACAGCUGAUAAACAUAUGGAGAUUAAGCUGCAAAAUGAGAGGAACAUUUAUGUUUUCUCAAGGAAAUGCCACAAAGAUGAAUAGAAGAGGGUAGAGGGGACCAAAUGAUGCUAAACCUACUUAUUAUUACAACUGAAUUACUUUGUUUUCACUGUACCUAGCAUGCUUCAUGACCUCAAAGAAAUUCAAGUCGUUGAUUUUGAUCUGGAAAGCUCUACUACAUCAAUAAAUACUUGUUCUGUAGAGAAGAGUCGUGUCCUUAGGGCAGCACACACAUCAAGAUAUUAAGGAAUAUAAGCACAGCCCCAUGUAUGAAAUAAGCCCCCAAAGAUCUGAACCACAGCUUGAUGUAGGUGUGCACGUGUGCCCCUGUCAUCACCUACAGCAUCACAGCCAUGUGCUGUGAGAUCAGAACAGCACUACAAUCUUCUUAUCUCAUAGCAAGCAUAAGAGUAUGUUCACGUAAUUGAAGUGAAACAUAAGUUUAAAAAAAGUGUCCCCUCUGAGAUCUUGGGAACUUCCUUCCUUCCUCUUCCUUGGGAAGGACCCCAAGGAAGAGUGAGGUGUGGUGACGUAUCUCCUCGCACUGCAAUUCCCUGAAACAUUAAUUGGCAUUAAAACACUCCUAAAAUGAAUUUGGUAUUUUUUCAGUAUAGCGGACUGACCGAAGAAAAUUACACGGCAGCCAAACAUUAAUUGUUUUCCCAGUGGCUCUUGAAAUGCUCGUGUAUUUGUGAGUUGACACAGUCCUUUGAAAUCCGUCACGAACUGCGCUUCUGCACCUGUGUUGCUUUACUGCAAGGGUUUAUUUCAGGAUGGAGACACAGAUGUCUGUCAGCGUGCUGCAACUGAGAGAAGAGAAAUUCCGUGACCAACCGAGGAGACAGGUUGGAUACACUUCACUCCGGUAAAGGAGAGGAUAAUGUAUUGAUCCAGAGGGAAAUAGCAUUUGCCAUAUGCUUGGUGCUCAAGUUUUUGCCUGAAAGAACAAGAGCUGGCCCCAGACCAAGGCUCUGUGAUUAAACUCGCCUUGAUCUUUGUGGAAAUUAUUGGCUUCCUUUGGCAGCUCCUCGCAGGCUGGAACAGGGGACAGGAGGGGACAGACCUAGUGGUGGGCACCGCUGCCGUUGUCUCCAGCAGCCUCCGUAGCUUUAUGGUAUGUGAUAAAAGCAGAGGGCCUGACCGCCUGACACGAAAUCUGCGAUCCCUCCGAGGUAUUUCUCGUGCUGUAGUGAAUGUCUUCCAGUGGAGCUCUGUCCUAGUUUUCUGUAAUAAUGUAAUGUUAUUAUAAGAGAAUGUCAAAACGAUAUCUGUUCAGAGAUUCUUUUAGUUCAGUGUUCAGAUGGAUAUCUUUUCUGGUGGUGGAUCGCACUUUACAAUUCUAAUGUAAAAAUAUCAAUACUAUUUGGGCUGUGAUAUGGACCUCUGCUAAUUGAAAGACUUAUUUAGCUAUGUAGUCUAUGGUUGCUGCUCCCGAUGGGUAUCAAAAGGCUUCCGGAAUUCUGCCUGGAAGGAGCACGUGCAGAUUUUUGCUCCUUUACACACUUUACCCCCCUGAAAGCCCUUCAAUGAGCUUCACAUCAUUCUCUGGUCCUCCUACACAUGCUGGAUUCGGUGACUCUUGUUGCAGGCAACAGGCUGCCCUGGGCUGUCCGUGCCAGUUCAUGGCUUCAGCAGCCUGAAAUAGGUGUUGAUAGUUUCUAAUUUAUCUUUGGAAGCCGGCUUCUGUGGAAUGUUCUCACCAGCAGUAUUUUAACUCAUCACUGGAAGUUAUUGUGCUUGAAUUUUACCUCCUUCAAAAUGAGGGAACAGACAAUUUCCUCCGGCCAUCUAACCCAAUCUGCAUCAAGCCCUGGUGCUCAGGAGACACGUGUGCUUGCAGGCCCGCGGCCUGGCCUGGGCCGGGCUCCCAUCUGCAUCCGCGCGCCUCCGCCGCUCCGGGGGCAGAGAGCUGCAGCUGAGAUUGGUAGUGACGCUUUGUCUCUCCUGCGUUCCGUGGCCACGCUUCAAGCAGACAAACCAAGGAUGUUAUUAAGCUUGGAAUUUCUCUGCAGCUUCCAACUUCAUUCACUGUGAAUGGCUUUUUAUGCGGCACUAAAAUCAAUGGUGUACCAACCCUCUUCUUAGGCAUACUCAGCACCGAGGGAAGAGCUCACUGCAGAUACCAAAGCCUUUCUCUCAGUAAUAAACACAGAAUGUGUUUAUUACUUCCAGACAUGUUUUUUUUUGCUGUUAGCAUGAAUAAAGUUAAUUGCCACAUUUUAGUUUCUCUUUGUAAUUAAGAGUUGAGCCUUCAGUGCUUUUCACUGCAGUUGCUGGCAAUUGAAGUUAAUCUUUUUAAUCAUUGCAGGAGAAGGAAUGCUCUCCAGUGUGGAUCCCACAUAAAAUAUGCCAUGUUUGGAAACAUAUCAACACCUAGGAAAAGCUAGAACAGUGCAUCUGGAGAAUGAGAGCGUUAACCCACAGCUUACUGCAGCAAGCAAGCUGUUAUCCACUAGCAGGAGAUGAACCGACCUUUUCCAUUUUCUCCUGGCAUCUCUGAAAUCAGAUUUUAAUAGCACAAGCCAGCAAGAACUACUGGGACGUGAAGUCUGAUCUUCUGAAUGCGCUGAUUUGAAGGAACCAUCCUUAAAAUGGCUUCAGCUUCUGCUGCUGCAGGUUGGUGGGGUGGAAGGAGCACGCAGGAUGGGGCUGGAGGCUCCGCCAUGUCAAGCAGUGGCCUGGGAAACCCAGCGCAAAACCGGCUUUGUCUGUACUGUAACCAUUAAGGAAAAUGCUAAGGAUGACUCUGAUUUUCUGUCACUAAAAGCGGGGCCAGGAGUUUCACAGAGACCAGCGCCAGAUGCUUCUGCAUGGCUCCAGAGGAGUCCAGGUCCUUGAAGCAGAGAAGGAUGGUUUCUGCGGGCAGGCAAAGGCUUCUGCCCUGAACACCACUGUCUGAACUCCUGUGUGAGUGGCUCCAGACCAUCCUCACAACUCCAAAAUAUGGAUUGAAAAUAAAAGCUGGGUAAAAUAGAUCAACCAGGCUCCAGGGAAGAGCUCUCUGCCAUGGAUGCUUGUUGCUGUGCUGUGGCCGGGCAGCUCGAGCCCCUGCAGCUGGCGGAGCUGCCUGCGGGUUUCAGCUGUGGACAGAAGCAGUGAAACAUCUUGCACAGCACUUGUGGGUUUUGCUCAGAAAAACAACUUUGCUUUUGGAGAGAGAAUGUUAUUUUCCUCUUUGCAACGUCCAAAGGAGAAACUGCCUACUGCAAGCUUUCUGAAUAAUAAACCUGAGUAUAUUUUGCAUAUGUUUUCUUCUGCUGUUCAAAAGAUAGAAAUGGGAGUUAAGGAUGGCUGCUUGUUUCGGCAUGGUAUCACGUAGGCUGAUCCAAAGAAAGAAAAUCCCUCGUGGUGACGAGGACGGUGAUGAAAGCGCCAGGUCCUUCCUCCCACGGGGACGGGGCGGCUGAGCUCAGAGCUGUGCGGGGAGCAGCCUGCGGUGAGGCCUCGGGCUCAGCACCGCCCGCAGCCCCUGGCCUGCUCCCGCGCACCGCAGUGCAUCCUGCAUGGGAAGAGCCCUCGGAGGCUGGGGCUGAAGGCACGGCAGCUGCCCCUCGCCCAGUGUGUCACAGAUGCCAGGAGGAGGAGAAAUGUGCUCAGUUGCAUCGUAAUCCUUGGUUUGUAAGAGGUGGCAAUUUCACGUAGUUUAUGCAAAUUUUCACCAAGUCUUUAAGGAAAAAAGUGUUGCGAAGAGGGCACUGGCAUCAGCUUGAAAGGAAUGUAAAUGAACAUAUCCUUAAAGCACAGUGUUGUUUGCCAGCAAAGACAAGUCGAGGAGAGAUGUAUUCCCACUGAACUCGCGGAGUUAUGGCAGUGCUGACACCAAGUUCUGUAAUUUUGUGCUAUUGCAGGGAGCAAAGUCAUCUCGUUGGGGAACUGUUCAUCUUUCUGGCUCUGCUUUGUACUGCUAAUGAUUCUGUAGCUACGUCUCUUUUUAUUUUAUUUUUGGUGGUGUGGUUUUUUUGUUUUUUCUUUUUUUUUUACAUUUCAGUGAAUGUCAUGCCUUUAUGUAAGACUCCAGAUAGCAUACAGAAAUAUGAAUUAUGCAAAACACCACACAGCUGUCAGAAUGCACGUGAAGAGCACUAUCACGCUGAAAUAAGUCAACGUGUGGUGAGUGUGAAGUAAUGCUGAUACUCUCCAUCAAAUAACGAAGUAAUUGUGCACGCAUUUGUGUGGAAAAGAUGAAAUUCCAGAUUUCAUGCAUGCAGGCAGCGGAGCCGGGGCUGGGCGCCGCGCUGCCAUGGCAACGGAGCAAGGCUUGGUACAGAAAUAGCUGAGCAUCGCAGGCCUCGCUUCUGGGAUGUGCCGUGUCCAACUUGGUAGCGGCCCCGCUCAAAGGCCAACGGGACCGCCAGCAUUCCCCGUCACUGACAGGGCAUGCCCUGCUCUCGGUGGUGGCAGAGUGAGCUAACAGCAGAGCUUCGUUCAUUAGAGAGCAGAGGUAAAACAUGCGCGCGGAGGGCUGCUUCUCAUUUAUCAUUACCCGCAAUCUCCUAUUACCGUCCACCAUUACCAUCAAAUAUUUAAAAACAUCUGAAAUUGGCUGUCGUUAAUGGCGGGGAUCGAUAUGUCGUAGGCUCCUUGCCCCGUGGCUUUCUGCAGCCGUGCCCGGCCGUGGCCCCGCUGCCCCAAGUGCUGUGCACAGAGCCAGGAGCCGCUGGGCACAGGUGACGUGCUGGAGCUGACGCAUCUAUGGGCUGGAUCCCGGCUGUCAUAGGGAACGUGAAUCGUGGGAACCCUGAGAGCCCGGCACAGGGCUGCGUCCCCCCGGAGCUCACAGGUGUGGGGCUGCACAGAGAGCUCUGAGAAAUGAAAAAGGAAGUGAAAAUGAGAUUUCUUCUCGCUGAUGGAUUUUGUACGUCCCUGCUCUUUUCUCCGUACUUUGCUGCUGGCAAGUGCUAGCUAAAUAACAGCAUGGAGUACUCAUUUAAAGCCUGAUUUAUGAACACUUUUGAAAUUAAAAUAAUUCUGAAUUCAAAUUCUUUUCAUAUGGCAUGCGGUUGGACAAUCGGUGGCCACGAAAACCUGUUGAGCAGCAAUGAUUUUAAACUGAAAACAAGAUUGGAAUACUUGGAUCUGAAUAAGUAUCAUUAUCUUGUACACCGAACUUUUCCUCUGUUCUCAUAUUUUGUCCCUCAAGAAAAUUUAAUGAGUGUAUUUCUUUUUCUUUCAAAGAAAUUGAUGUAUUUUGCUGACAAAAGAGUCUUAUAUAUAUAUAUGGCAGGUGGACUGUGAGAGCUUUGUGGCUAAUUGCAACCAUUCACACCAACAAAACCCUCCCGGGCCCUCAAUUGCAGUCUUCACACAGUGUGAGAUUUUGUCGGACCCUUGAGCAACUGUUUUAUAGUGAGUGUGCUCACAUGCACAGUCAGCUGGAGCUGGUCCUCCCGAGGUGCAGUCCUUCGCUCCAGCACCACCAGGGUGUGUGCUCAUGGCCUUCAGCCUGCUUUCAGACCGUCUUCAGAUUAAUGUUGAAGGAAGUAAGUGAAGGAAAAGGAGAUUACUUUGAAAGUAAUGGGUUCUCUUGCCUCCGGUUUCCUCCAA